rnacentral:rRNA from 1 species
ACAGCAGCCGCCGCGGUAAUACGGAGGGUGCAAGCGUUAAUCGGAAUUACUGGGCGUAAAGCGCACGCAGGCGGUCUGACAAGUCAGAUGUGAAAUCCCCGGGCUUAACCUGGGAACUGCAUUUGAAACUGUCAGGCUGGAGUCUUGUAGAGGGGGGUGGAAUUCCAGGUGUAGCGGUGAAAUGCGUAGAGAUCUGGAGGAAUACCGGUGGCGAAGGCGGCCCCCUGGACAAAGACUGACGCUCAGGUGCGAAAGCGUGGGGAGCAAACAGGAUUAGAUACCCGUGUAGUCCCUGUCUCUUAUAA